rnacentral:lncRNA from 1 species
CAUCAUGAUAACUAUGAGACAACCUACACAAGUUUUGGCCAUAGCCUUUGUGGGGUUCGUCAUAGGAAUAAAUCACCAUAAAAGAUUGAUAGUACGGGAUAGAAAUGUUAUUGACAGGGGAGGAAUCCCCUUGCAUAAUAUUUAAUUUCAUGCUAAUGUUUGAAUUCUCCUCCCCCAUCAUAGGACGGAUGCUUGGGUGCCCCGCAAUAAAAAAGUCUAUGAGACACCCUUGACCCUGGGGAAUUACCCCUAUCCGGACAGGGAUACUCCUUAUUUCUUCAGUGAAAUUACUGAGGGAAGGAUGAGUUACCUGAACCCCCAUCUUUACCUAAUGACGAGAGCAGAAGCAAGGAAAGUUAAUUUUACUGCACUCAGACAGGUGAGGGAGUUAGGCGAUGGAAUGGAGACAAUUAACAUCGGGAGUGACUACAUCUCGUUUUACCAGAAACGUUACCAAAAACAAAACAGAAAAAACAACAUCCUUGAAAAAAACAGAUGUGGGGAUAUGUCCAAAAUUCCUGCCGUGGCUCGGUUCCUGGCAUUAGGGUGGAGCAUGAGUGAUGAUAAAGACAUAGAAGAGAAACUUAGCAUUGAGGACGGGGAGGGAAGUGAUUCUUCUUCAGGAGAUGAAAAAGCUGGAGUUGGUUCCCCCGCUAAAAGACGAGGAGAGGAUGGAGAUGAUAUGGGUCCGGAGUGGAAAAAGGAGAGAAUGACUCUGACGGAGGCCCUGUCUGUGUCACCUCCUCGUGCUGUCUCACAGUCUCCUGCGUGUAUGGAGAUGGAAUGGGAGAGAGAUGACAACACAGGAGAGAUCUUCUUUGCCGAAAGGGUGGCCAGAAUAUCCCCCUUCCCCACUGUGAUGAAAGUCGAGUCUGCUGAUGAAGUGGCUGACUGCUUUCCCCCGCUGGAAAAUGAAUCGGAUGAUGAUGGGGCGGAGCUGUUGGGUGCAGAGACAUUCGUGGGUGAAAGGGGGGGGGAGGCCCCCAAUGAAGGCAUAGAGACAGUGACACCUGCCCCGACUGAUGACAGUCUGGAGAGACUGGAGCGGGCGUUCUCGGUUCUCAGCGUCAUACUGGAAGAC